ACAAAUGGGCAUGAUCCAAAAUCCAGGGAAGUCAACCGAAAAACUGCACUUUGACUUGCUCUGGGCUUUGGAUCAAACCCAGCAGU